GUCUACGGACCAAAGUGUGGGACCUUUCGGGCCACAUGCUAUCGGAUGCGCCUACGUGGGAUUAGCUAGUUGGUGAGGUAAUGGCUCACCAAGGCGACGAUCCCUAGCUGGUUUGAGAGGAUGAUCAGCCACACUGGAACUGAGACACGGUCCAGACUCCUACGGGAGGCAGCAGUGGGGAAUAUUGGACAAUGGGCGCAAGCCUGAUCCAGCCAUGCCGCGUGUGUGAAGAAGGCCUUCGGGUUGUAAAGCACUUUCAGUUGGGAGGAAGGGUUGCGUGUUAAUAGUACACAGCCUUGACGUUACCAACAGAAGAAGCACCGGCUAACUCUGUGCCAGCAGCCGCGGUAAUACAGAGGGUGCAAGCGUUAAUCGGAAUUACUGGGCGUAAAGCGCACGUAGGCGGUUUUUUAAGUCAGAUGUGAAAGCCCCGGGCUCAACCUGGGAAUUGCAUUUGAAACUGGAAAACUAGAGUGUGUGAGAGGGGGGUAGAAUUCCAAGUGUAGCGGUGAAUCUCGUAAGGAAAUUGGAGGAAUNACCAGUGGCGAAGGCGGCCCCCUGGCACAACACUGACGCUCAGGUGCGAAAGCGUGGGGAUGCNUACAGGAUUAGAUACCCUGGUAGUCCACGCCGUAAACGAUGUCUACUAGCUGUUCGUGACCUUGUGUCGUGAGUAGCGCAGCUAACGCACUAAGUAGACCGCCUGGGGAGUACGNGUCGCAAGAUUAAAACUCAAAUGAAUUGACGGGGGCCCGCACAAGCGGUGGAGCAUGUGGUUUAAUUCGACGCAACGCGAAGAACCUUACCUACUCUCGACAUCCAGAGAAGACUGCAGAGAUGCGGUUGUGCCUUCGGGAACUCUGAGACAGGUGCUGCAUGGCUGUCGUCAGCUCGUGUUGUGAAAUGUUGGGUUAAGUCCCGCAACGAGCGCAACCCUUAUCCUUAGUUGCCAGCACGUAAUGGUGGGAACUCUAGGGAGACUGCCGGUGAUAAACCGGAGGAAGGUGGGGACGACGUCAAGUCAUCAUGGCCCUUACGAGUAGGGCUACACACGUGCUACAAUGGUAUGUACAGAGGGAGGCAAGCUGGCGACAGUGAGCGGAUCUCUUAAAGCAUAUCGUAGUCCGGAUCGCAGUCUGCAACUCGACUGCGUGAAGUCGGAAUCGCUAGUAAUCGCAAUCAGAAUGUUUGCGGGUGAAUACGUUCCCGGGCCCUUG
rnacentral:rRNA from 1 species